rnacentral:rRNA from 1 species
AGUGAACGCUGGCGGUAGGCCUAACACAUGCAAGUCGAACGGCAGCACAGUAAGAGCUUGCUCUUACGGGUGGCGAGUGGCGGACGGGUGAGGAAUACAUCGGAAUCUACUUUUUCGUGGGGGAUAACGUAGGGAAACUUACGCUAAUACCGCAUACGACCUACGGGUGAAAGCAGGGGAUCUUCGGACCUUGCGCGAUUGAAUGAGCCGAUGUCGGAUUGGCUAGUUGGCGGGGUAAAGGCCCACCAAGGCGACGAUCCGUAGCUGGUCUGAGAGGAUGAUCAGCCACACUGGAACUGAGACAGGGUCCAGACUCCUACGGGAGGCAGCAGUGGGGAAUAUUGGACAAUGGGCGCAAGCCUGAUCCAGCCAUACCGCGUGGGUGAAGAAGGCCUUCGGGUUGUAAAGCCCUUUUGUUGGGAAAGAAAAGCAGCAGGUUAAUACCCCGCUGUUCUGACGGUACCCAAAGAAUAAGCACCGGCUAACUUCGUG